CUCUCUCUCUCUUUCUCGAAAGAUCUCUCUCGACGAAAGGCGAUUUGCCGUCUCCUUGAUCUUGUCGUCUCCGUCGGUGUACCUUAUCGGCGACGCCUCUUUCUCUGUCUCGCUCUCUCUCGGUGGUUCUCUGUCUCGGUAGUUCUCGCUCUCUCUAUCUCUCUCUCUCGGUGGUUCUCGGCUUCUCUCUCUCUCGGUGGGUGUCCUCGAGGCGACGAAGCUCUCCUUCGGUGGCUCAGAUCGGAGACGUCUCCUUCGGUGUCUCUUAUCGGCGACGGAGCUCUCCUUCUGAGGCUCUAAUCGGUGACGUCUUAAUUGAAAGUUUGUAGGUACUCUUCGAACCGGUAUCUCGGUGGGACUUCUCGUUGAAGCUUUCUCUCGGUGGCUCACCUCAAAUCGAAAGGAGUACGAAGAGGAGUACAUUUGGUGGUAGGCCGAGAAGCAAGAGGAGUACAUUUGGUGGAGCAAAACAGGGUGGAGGAUCAAGCUGAAGAUCGAGUAAAGGUUCAAUUGUUCAGAGGAUCAACUUAAACACACUGCACAAAUUAGGUUGGUGUUACUCUCUCUACAGAACGAGAAACAGAUAUCGGAAAUAUAAUGGAUGCUGAAACUAGCAUUCGUGAUAGUCAAAUGCAUGAACAACUAAAAGCUGAUUUGGUCGAACAUGUAUGGGAUAAAUGGGGACAUGAGUAUCCCAACAACUGAGCUCAUAUGUUUCUUUCAAAUUUCCCACCUUUAAUUUACUAAUCUUUGUUUUAAUGUGGUUUAUCUAUGUUUAAAAUAUUUUUCUUUAAUAUGUUCUAAUUAAUAAAUAUUUUCUUUUUGAAAAAAUCAUUUAAUUUUUUUUUUUAAUGUUAAGAACUAUAAAUUAAGAAUCUUGCAUUGGAGCUGGAAAAUUAAGUGUCUCUUAACUACAACCUCUUAAUCAUCAUUAAUUACUAAAAAAUUGUUAAGAGUCACAUUUUAACUCUUAGGGUUAAUCAUGCUCUUAGGAAUCGUUGUGACAAGUUAAGAUAAAUUAAUAAAUUAUAUCUUAACUAUAAGAUUUAAAACAACAGGGAUAAAAAGGUUCUUUGUUUAUAACAAUAUAAUUAAAUAUAUUUAUUCAGAAUUUAUAACUAUAAACUGGAGGCUAGCUACCCAUAAGAAAAUGAUUAGGAUUGGACUCACGUUAAUUUUUUUUUAAACUAUACUCACGUUAAAUAUUUAAUUAUCAGCAAAAAUCUGUUGAUUUCAACUAAUUGUAACAUCACCAAACAUAAAGAUGAUAUCAAACAAAAUUAGACCGGCGUCAGCGGCCGAUUGUCACUCAUCACAACAUGCGUUGGUGUGGUUAAUUAAGAAGACCUCAAAUGUAUAUAGAAUUUUUCUUUUAAUUUAAAGUUUGAUCAUUCAUCUUAAGAUAACUCAAUUCUAGGUUUUAAUCUAAAAAGUUACUGGGAACAUAUAGUUCGAAAACUAUUUAAUCGCGGAUAAGAUUCAUAAUGCUAUUUGAAAUAUUUACAAUCUUAUAAGAUAUAACCACGUAUAAAUAGCCAAACAUGGAUUCAUCGUCCAUGCAGCAUUAUUUAUGAGAUAAUAGACUUUUUUCUAAGUAUCGCCAGCAUCAUGCAUUAUUGGGAAGAGCAUAUUCUCCACGCUAAUCUAAUCUUGCGCUCGUUAUUGCUCAUCUGUAUUGGAUGUUAAUGGGGGCAGUUUUGCGUGUGACCACUAAAAUUGCAAUUUUUAAAACAAUUCAUAAACUAGUUAGAAGAAAUAUAUGAUGCAUGAUAACUACAUUUACAUUGAAUAUGUAUAUUGGAAAACACAUUCAACGUUGUGUAUACCAACACGUAUUAGUAUAAACUAGUACAAUACCUCUUUUGUUUGAGCAAAUUAUUGGUUAGUUUUUUCGUUGGUUAGAUAGUUAUUUAAUUAAUUGGUUCACAAAAAAACAAUUGAUAUGUUUUUAUUGUAUUUCUUUGUAAUUU